rnacentral:lncRNA from 1 species
UUAAUUUUAAUUGCUCAAAUUUAAAUAACACAUUUUACUAAUAAUUAAAAUUCCAUUAAAAUAAAAAUCCUAAAAAUUACAUUAAAAAAAACUUAAAAACAUAAUUAAAAUUACAUAAAUUAAAAUCCUACUCUAGAUAAGUUCACGAUGCUUGAGCAUUUCUUGGACCACGUACUCGUGUCCCCUCCUUUGUGCAUCACUCAUAUGCGUCGUAUCCAAGCUGAGGAGCUCCAUAUCAAGCUCAUUCUCCUUGAGCUCGUUCUCCCUUCUCCUUGAGCAGGAGAUCAUUUUCCAUAUCGGGAUCAUCCCCCAAGUUACAUCCCUCCAUAUUGGGAUGAUAGUCGCUGGAGAGAUCGGGGCACCAAUUUAGAUCUUAGUAGUUUAGGUUGUGUGGAUCCAUGAAAAUUGUAGAGAGAAGAAGAAGAUUGAAGAUGGUGGAGUGGAGAUGGUAGAGAGAGGAGAUGGUGGAGUAGAAGAUGGUGGAAAUGAAAGAGGAAGAAAGGGGAAUUUAAAGAAGAGAAAAAAAAAAGGGAAAUGCCAAUAGGUCAAAUGGACCGAUUUAAAAAAAAAAUGGAAAAUGCCAAAAACGGUCAAAUUUUUGAAAUUUGAUUUUUUUUUAUUCGGCGCGUGCAUAAGCCGCUAUUCC